AGUAAAAUGUCUGAAUAAAAGUAAUAAAUUGUAAAUUUAUUUAUAGGAAUAAUUUCCUUUUUACUA
rnacentral:tRNA from 1 species